rnacentral:lncRNA from 1 species
UUGAUCACCGGUCCCUGGGCCGAGCGCCUCUCUCGGCCCUGCCCGGCCGCCCACUGCCGGCCCCGCGGCUCCCUCUGGCGGACGCUCGGCGCCGCUCCGACCACGUGCUCCAGGCCCAGGGGGGAGUCGGGGGUCCUCUCGUCCCCCUCCUCUCUUCCCCCUCCCUCUCUUCUCUUCCCCCUCCCUCCUUCUUCCCCCCUCUCCCGUCCUGCUUCCCCUUCCUCCUCCCCUUCCCUUCUCCUCCGCCGUCGUCUCUCCUCCCCCUCCCUCCUUCUUCCCCUCUUCCUCCCUCUCCCCCUUCCUCCCCUCCCUCCUCCUCUCGUCCUCCUUCCUCUUCCUCCUCCCCCUCCCUUCUCCUCCCCCGUCGUCUCUCCUCCCCCUCCCUCCUCUCUCCUCCUCCCUCUCCAUCCUCCCCCUCCCUUUCCUCUCUUCCCCCUCCCUCCUCCUCCCCUCUCCUCUCUCGUCCCCCUCCCUUCCCCUCCCCCUCUUCUCUCCUUCCCUUCCCUCCCUCUCCCUCCCUCCUGCCCCUCCUCACUCUUCCCCUCCCCUUCCUCCUCCUCGCCCUCCCCUCCCCUGUUGGUCUCCAUCCUUUCUGUCCUGUCUCCUCCCCUGCCCUUCUGUCUCUCCUUUCUCUUCCCCUCCCCCGGGCGGCCUUCUCCGGGCCCCGGGCCCCCUCCCCGUCCCUCCCUCCCUCCCUCCCUCCCUCCCUCCGGCCCGGCCCGGCCCGGUCCGGUUGGUCCCGGCUCUCCAGCCUGGCAUAAUCCCGGGGUCCGGGCAGGGGGGGGGGUCGCUGGCCGGGCCGGCCGGCUCCCUCUCCUGCGGCCGCCGCUCCGCGGGGCCGGUCCUUCCCGCCCCCCUGCCCUUCCCCGCCCGGCGGCUCCGGGGACCGGACCGAGGGAGCGGACAAGCCGGCCGGGGCGGCCCGCUGCGGCCUCCGCUCAGCCCCCGGCACGGGACGCGGGCCGCGGGCCACGGGCCACGGGCCGCGGGCCACGGGCCACGGGACGCGGGCCACGGGCCACGGGCCGGCCAGGUGAGGGGGACCCCAACCUGGAGGGCCGGGACCGGGCGGGAGAGAGAGGAGGGGGCGAGGCCGGGGCUGGGGACGAGAAGCGGGGGCGGUCGACCCGUCACUCGUCUCUAUCCAGCUCUCACGGUGUGCCGAGCACUGCGCCGAGCGCUCGGGAGGGGUCCGGAGAGUCGGUAGACACAUCGUUCCCUGCUCACGACGAGCUUUUAGAGGCCGGAGGCCGGAGCCGGGGCCCGGACGGGAGAGUAGUAAUAAUAACGGUAUCUGUUCAGCGCUCACCCUGUGCCAAGCACCGUUCCCAGAGCUAG